rnacentral:rRNA from 1 species
CCCAGACUCCUACGGGAGGCAGCAGUGGGGAAUAUUGCACAAUGGGGGAAACCCUGAUGCAGCGACGCCGCGUGAGCGAGGAAGUAUUUCGGUAUGUAAAGCUCUGUCAGCAGGGAAGAAGAAUGACGGUACCUGAAGAAGAAGCACCGGCUAAAUACGUGCCAGCAGCCGCGGUAAUACGUAUGGUGCAAGCGUUAUCCGGAUUUACUGGGUGUAAAGGGAGCGCAGGCGGUUCUGCAAGUCUGAUGUGAAAGCCCGGGGCUCAACCGCGGGACUGCAUUGGAAACUGCGGGACUGGAGUACGGGAGGGGCAGGCGGAAUUCCUGGUGUAGCGGUGAAAUGCGUAGAUAUCAGGAGGAACACCGGCGGCGAAGGCGGCCUGCUGGACCGUGACUGACGUUGAGGCUCGAGAGCGUGGGGAGCAGACAGGAUUAGAUACCCGAGUA